UAUUGGGAGCUUGCUUCCAAGAGACCGGCGCACGGGUGCGUAACGCGUAUGCAAUCUGCCUUUCACAAAGGGAUAGCCCAGAGAAAUUUGGAUUAAUACCUUAUAGUAUAUUGAUGUGGCAUCACAUUAUUAUUAAAGAUUUAUCGGUGAAAGAUGAGCAUGCGUCCCAUUAGCUAGUUGGUAAGGUAACGGCUUACCAAGGCAACGAUGGGUAGGGGUCCUGAGAGGGAGAUCCCCCACACUGGUACUGAGACACGGACCAGACUCCUACGGGAGGCAGCAGUGAGGAAUAUUGGACAAUGGGCGCAAGCCUGAUCCAGCCAUGCCGCGUGCAGGAUGACGGUCCUAUGGAUUGUAAACUGCUUUUAUACGGGAAGAAACCCUGGAACGUGUUCCAGACUGACGGUACCGUAAGAAUAAGGAUCGGCUAACUCCGUGCCAGCAGCCGCGGUAAUACGGAGGAUCCAAGCGUUAUCCGGAAUCAUUGGGUUUAAAGGGUCCGUAGGCGGCCUUAUAAGUCAGUGGUGAAAUCUCCCGGCUCAACCGGGAAAUUGCCAUUGAUACUGUAGGGCUUGAAUUAUUGGGAAGUAACUAGAAUAUGUAGUGUAGCGGUGAAAUGCUUAGAUAUUACAUGGAAUACCAAUUGCGAAGGCAGGUUACUACCAAUGGAUUGACGCUGAUGGACGAAAGCGUGGGUAGCGAACAGGAUUAGAUACCCUGGUAGUCCACGCCGUAAACGAUGGAUACUAGCUGUUGGGAGCAAUCUCAGUGGCUAAGCGAAAGUGAUAAGUAUCCCACCUGGGGAGUACGAACGCAAGUUUGAAACUC
rnacentral:rRNA from 1 species